ACGAGAUGCCCUUCGUACUUGGUGGAAUCGGUCCCUGAAGAAGUCCGAUUUUCCCAGUACGUAAGGGCAUUCUCACUUCACGACGCGCUCACCCGACCGACCUCAUCGGUGGAUCGAG
rnacentral:sRNA from 1 species